AGUGAACGCUGGCGGUAGGCCUAACACAUGCAAGUCGAACGGCAGCACAGUAAGAGCUUGCUCUUACGGGUGGCGAGUGGCGGACGGGUGAGGAAUACAUCGGAAUCUACUUUUUCGUGGGGGAUAACGUAGGGAAACUUACGCUAAUACCGCAUACGACCUACGGGUGAAAGCAGGGGAUCUUCGGACCUUGCGCGAUUGAAUGAGCCGAUGUCGGAUUAGCUAGUUGGCGGGGUAAAGGCCCACCAAGGCGACGAUCCGUAGCUGGUCUGAGAGGAUGAUCAGCCACACUGGAACUGAGACACGGUCCAGACUCCUACGGGAGGCAGCAGUGGGGAAUAUUGGACAACGGGCGCAAGCCUGAUCCAGCCAGACCGCGUGGGUGAAGAAGGCCUUCGGGUUGUAAAGCCCUUUUGUUGGGAAAGAAAAGCAGCAGGUUAAGACCCCGCUGUUCUGACGGUACCCAAAGAAUAAGCACCGGCUAACUUCGUG
rnacentral:rRNA from 1 species